rnacentral:rRNA from 1 species
AGAGUUUGAUCCUGGCUCAGGACGAACGCUGGCGGCGUGCCUAAUACAUGCAAGUAGAACGCUGAAGGAGGAGCUUGCUUCUCUGGAUGAGUUGCGAACGGGUGAGUAACGCGUAGGUAACCUGCCUGGUAGCGGGGGAUAACUAUUGGAAACGAUAGCUAAUACCGCAUAAGAGUGGAUGUUGCAUGACAUUUGCUUAAAAGGUGCACUUGCAUCACUACCAGAUGGACCUGCGUUGUAUUAGCUAGUUGGUGGGGUAACGGCUCACCAAGGCGACGAUACAUAGCCGACCUGAGAGGGUGAUCGGCCACACUGGGACUGAGACACGGCCCAGACUCCUACGGGAGGCAGCAGUAGGGAAUCUUCGGCAAUGGACGGAAGUCUGACCGAGCAACGCCGCGUGAGUGAAGAAGGUUUUCGGAUCGUAAAGCUCUGUUGUAAGAGAAGAACGAGUGUGAGAGUGGAAAGUUCACACUGUGACGGUAUCUUACCAGAAAGGGACGGCUAACUACGUGCCAGCAGCCGCGGUAAUACGUAGGUCCCGAGCGUUGUCCGGAUUUAUUGGGCGUAAAGCGAGCGCAGGCGGUUAGAUAAGUCUGAAGUUAAAGGCUGUGGCUUAACCAUAGUAGGCUUUGGAAACUGUUUAACUUGAGUGCAAGAGGGGAGAGUGGAAUUCCAUGUGUAGCGGUGAAAUGCGUAGAUAUAUGGAGGAACACCGGUGGCGAAAGCGGCUCUCUGGCUUGUAACUGACGCUGAGGCUCGAAAGCGUGGGGAGCAAACAGGAGUAGAUACCCUGGUAGUCCACGCUGUAAACGAUGAGUGCUAGGUGUUAGACCCUUUCCGGGGUUUAGUGCCGUAGCUAACGCAUUAAGCACUCCGCCUGGGGAGUACGACCGCAAGGUUGAAACUCAAAGGAAUUGACGGGGGCCCGCACAAGCGGUGGAGCAUGUGGUUUAAUUCGAAGCAACGCGAAGAACCUUACCAGGUCUUGAAAUCCCUCUGACCGCUCUAGAGAUAGAGUUUUCCUUCGGGACAGAGGUGACAGGUGGUGCAUGGUUGUCGUCAGCUCGUGUCGUGAGAUGUUGGGUUAAGUCCCGCAACGAGCGCAACCCCUAUUGUUAGUUGCCAUCAUUCAGUUGGGCACUCUAGCGAGACUGCCGGUAAUAAACCGGAGGAAGGUGGGGAUGACGUCAAAUCAUCAUGCCCCUUAUGACCUGGGCUACACACGUGCUACAAUGGCUGGUACAACGAGUCGCAAGCCGGUGACGGCAAGCUAAUCUCUUAAAGCCAGUCUCAGUUCGGAUUGUAGGCUGCAACUCGCCUACAUGAAGUCGGAAUCGCUAGUAAUCGCGGAUCAGCACGCCGCGGUGAAUACGUUCCCGGGCCUUGUACACACCGCCCGUCACACCACGAGAGUUUGUAACACCCGAAGUCGGUGAGGUAACCGUAAGGAGCCAGCCGCCUAAGGUGGGAUAGAUGAUUGGGGUGAAGUCGUAACAAGGUAGCCGUAUCGGAAGGUGCGGCUGGAUCACCU